rnacentral:rRNA from 1 species
GAUGAACGCUGGCGGCGUGCCUAACACAUGCAAGUCGAGCGACCGGACGAGAAGCUCUCUCUUCUGCUGUUGGCGGCUGACGGGUGAGUAACACAUGGAUCACAUUCUUCUUUUACUGGGGUGACUUCGGGAGACCGGUUCUACUAAUAGCUCAUAUUUCGUACGGCAUAGAUCAAAAGUGCUUCACACCUUUCCCGUCUCUUUUAGCCGGAUUCGGGCUGGAUUAGCUAGUUGGUAAGGUAACGGCCUACCAAGGCGACGAUGCAUAGCUGAGCUGAGAGGAUGAUCGGCCACACUGGAACUGAGACACGGUCCAGACUCCUACGGGAGGCAGCAGUGGGGAAUAUUCGGCAAUGGGCGAAAGCCUGACGGAGCAAUGCCGCGUGAGUGAUGAAGGUCUUCGGGUCGUAAAGCUCUGUUGUUAGGGAAGAACAGAUGUGUAUGAAACUGUGGAUGUCUUGACGGUACCUAAUCAAAAAGCCACGGCUAACUACGUG